UACGUAGGCAGCGAGCGUUGUUCGGAAUUACUGGGCGUAAAGAGUGUGUAGGCGGUGCUCUAAGUUCGGUGUGAAAUCUCCUGCUUAACUGGGAGGGUGCGCCGGAAACUGGGGUGCUCGAGCGUGGGAGAGGAAAGCGGAAUUCCUGGUGUAGCGGUGAAAUGCGUAGAUAUCAGGAGGAACACCUGUGGUGUAGACAGCUUCUGGACCAUUGCUGACGCUGAGACACGAAAGCGUGGGUAGCAAACAGG
rnacentral:rRNA from 1 species